UGAAACAUUUUGAUCGAACUUUUCCACUUGUAGAUACCACUUGAAGCCAGUGCUGCACCUCCAUAUUUUUUUUUCAGACGAGAAUGGAAUGUGUUGUUUGAACUGAAAUUACAUUCUGGGGUAGAAUAGAAGAGGGCAGAAGGAAAGACAUGUUAUUUGUUAGGAUAAGUAUGCUAUGGGUUUUGUGGUACUGUGGGAAAGCUUGCUCUUGCUGCGUCUACUCAGAAUCCCAAAUCCCACAUCCACAUCACCUUGAUUCCCACCACGUUUUCCUCUGUGCCUCCUUCCACACAGUGACAGAAAAAGCCAGAUUUUUUUUGACUAAUCUAAUGUACUUUUUUCUCCUCAGUCUCUUCUGUCUCUCCCCAUUGCUUCCAGAAGGGGAGGGACUAUUUCUCUCCAUUACAGGCCAUCAUAGGGCUUUCUGACAUCACUUCCAAUGCAUUCCUUGCCUCCAUUCACCCAGGAAGAAUCUGCUGCGUUUUGAUAUCUGUCUCAGGUCACUCAUCACACAGCUAUGUGCCAGCAGGAAGUAUGCUGCUCUUCUGGUAGACUAAACAAAAGGAAAUCCACCUGGGACGGAGAGGAGACACUGGUAUCCCUUUUAACAACUUCACUUCUAAAUCACCCUUCCAUCCCCUGCCUUCAUCUCCCUCCCUCUAGCACAGAUGCCAAACUAAAGCAAAGCGAACACAAACAAAGGACACCUGUUCCCAGCCCUACUAAAGAGAGAAAAGCUGCUAGCGCCUAAAGGCUAAAGCUGAGCUGAACGUAUUAUGGCUACAGAAGUUGGCUAGGCUGCAGAUAUACCUGCGCAAGGGAAAUAUGAGCCUAUCGCACAAUGCCAGCAAAUAACAACUAAAAAGUAACUUACGUCACAGGAGGAUGGCAGGGGGAAAUCAAGGUACAAUUAUCACCACUCCUCUGCGCCCAUAUAUCAUCUUGUUGGCAUGUACACAAGUGUUCCUUCAAUAUAAAUUAUUAAAAAAAAGUAAAAAAAAUGGUAAUUUGCUGUCAACACUUACAGCAGGCGACCACACUCUCCCCUCACUUGUUACAGAGCUCGCACAAAUUCUUCUUUUUUUGCAGACGUCAUGGUCAUCAUCAGUGUGAGCAGAGGGAUGCUUCUUGUAGCAUGCCCUGGAGAUCAACAGACCCAAGCUAUUUCAGACCAGUGAGUCCUUUCCAGAGCUGAGAGCUCCUCACAGAGACUGCUCUGCAACCAUCACCUUCUUUUUCAGCUUGAGUGGCUUUUCUUCUUGCAGCCGUGGCAGUACGGCAGAAAGGAGAUGGGAUAGCUCUCUCGCGUGUCCAGCACUCCUUUUCUCACUGCUAGUGAUUCAAAGGAUUAAAGCAGAAGGAUAUAAAGCAACAGAUGGGGAUUUCAUUCAUUUCCCGUGCUUUGAAAACAGACUCUAAGAAAUACAUCCAUUGUUAUUGUGACCUCCAGUACGAUGAAUGCAGAUUUCAGUUUGAGAUGGGAGGGGAAUGUUGCUGGGUCCAGGGAAGUGGGCACCACAGUGGAGAGAAAUGCUCUGGUGAUAUUUUAUCCUCAUUAUUCAAGCAAAAAGUCAGUUUGUAGCAAAGGUCAGUGCAUCAAAGAUGUACAAAAUACUCCUGUUUUUCUCCAUCCCUUCCCCUUCCCCUGCGGAUCCAGCGCAGAGGAGCAGAAGCCAGAGGGGGUGGCAGUGGAAGAGGUGAACCCCAACUACGGCUCCUGUGGCAAGGUGCUGGGCCCUCAGGGCUGCCCCUGGUACUGGAAAAAAAACCCAGCAAACAAACAGAAAACAGAAGCAAGAAGUUGCUUGUGGGAGAAGGAAGGCCAUGGCAAUCGGUGGCCUGGCUCCCAUGCCGCCUGAAGCCGUGGAGAGGGAACUGGCUGGUUCUGAAGCUGCUCAUGUGAUUUUUGGGACACACUUUUAUGGCAGAAGAGGGAACUGUAGCCUUUCCACCCCUGAUCAGUGGGGCAGCCUUGUGUGGGUGGUCUAUGGAGAGGAAGGAGAGGAUUACCCUCAGUUCCCUGUCUCCCCAGGUUGCUCGUCGGAGGGCUCCCGGGGUGAACCUGGGGCUUCAGUCCUAGGGCAAGGGGUGGAGGAAACAGUCUCCAGAAAUGGCCUCAUCCUUCUUUUAACAGAUCCAAAGGGAAAGAUGAGUCCCAUGGAAGAGGCUUUUCCUUCGGAGUUUCAUAACCUAGGAGUGCUGUGGAACUUCCAGAAGCCAGAUGUGAUAGAGGACAUUAGCUUUUCCAGAGUCUUCACUUUUAAUCUCCACCUGUGAAGAAUUGGGUCAAUUCUGCAUGGCCAGAGACAGCAGUUCCCCUUGCACUGUAGCUUCGAGUACUGGAGAUAACACUUCCUAUAAAUCAAGACAGGCUGUAAAAAGUGACAAAAACUGUGAAGUUCAGCUUGCCAGGAAACUGUUAUCGUGUAUGUGUAUUUUUUUUAGAAAAAAAACCCAUUUAAUAUCCACAUUCCAUUUUGUCAAUUUUUCAAAACCCCUGACAGGGAUGUGAAUGUUGCUCAAGAGCUGUUACAUAUCGUGAUUAUAAUUUGUUCUUUUUGAAGAAGGUGAUGUCUAAGUUGUUUUUGAUGAUUAUGUUUCCUUGGUCUAUAUUUAUUUGAAAGGCACUUUUCAAACCUGAGAAUUGUUUCCAAACAGUAUGCAUAAAUGAUUAGUACUGCUUGCAGUCGUGCAGUUUGAUCCCUAUUCCCUUUAGAUGUUAGUCUAGAUGUGAAGACAAUGCCCUACCUCGUGCAGAAAGAAUAGAUCUUAACUGCUGCAACAGCUGAAAGAGUUGGAAUGAUUUAAAGAUAAAACCAGCCACUUCCUAUAGAAUCAGUCAGAGCUCUGGGUUAUAAAAUCCACCGUAUACUUUGCAUGUGCUAACGAUGUGGUGUUUACUAGCAGAAUGCUGUGUAAAUGACUAGUAAAUACCAUGGCUUCAAACACACAGAUUUCCUGUUUUGAGCUUCAUCCUAUGGUCUACAUGCAACUUGGUCCUACUUUGCGGCUGCUAUGACACAAACCCUAAAUUAUCUUCUAAUUUUUCAAAUUCAGAAGAAACUCCAUUUAUUUAAUUGUUUAAUGCCUCUCUGAAGAAUCAAGGCAUUUUACCCUAGGCUCACCAGAAUGAAUACUUAUCCCAGACGUCUGCCUUCGAAAAGAAGGUUCUUCACCGAGCCAGUAAGGAAAAUAUUUUGUGAGUGUUGCAUUUUUUUUCCCAGCUAAGUGACAAGGAGCAUUUAAUUUUGGAUAAAAUAGGUGUAUAUAUUUUCUUCUUGUCAUUUUUUGUUUAACUCCAUUAUUAGUGUCCUCCACCAUUUGAAAACCAGGAAGGAACAACUUUUCUUGAGAAAAGAAUAGGUAACCACCUAGUGAAAUGUCAAAACCGAAGAAUCAUUGUGUUUUGAUAGCACGUUAUGUACUGAAGUCUGUAUAGCUCUCCAUACGUUCUGGUACAUUUUAGACUUGUAUUUAUUUGGAAAAAAAACCCAGGGAACAAUUGUUGCAAAAAUUAGCACAGGUUCCAGAAGAGAUAUAUGAGUAGAGGGACUGAUUUUUAAGGGUGCAACCAUAAGAUACAUGUGAAAUGAGCACAAACUAAUUUUAUCUUUGUCAGCACUAGCUGCAGUGUGGUCUGAUAGCUUUUAUACUCUUUGCUGGUUUUUGACCAGAGUCUUCCCCUCUGGAGAUCCAGUUCUUGGAGCCGUUCUUUCUCCUCCCCCAUCUGAUCUGAUACCUGUUUCCAAAUUUAAUGUGCUUUCUAUCCUUUGGUUCUUAAAUGACCUCUCUUUUCCUUUUACCUCUUCUGUUAUUUAAAGCUGCAAUGUAUAUUAAAACUCACAAAACAGGCCCAAGGCAAACCAAGCCGCAAACUGUAUCUAUGUAAUACGGGCAUGUGUGAUUGGGAACAACAGGACAGAGUUUCUUUAGUUAUUGUGGGGACAUUCAUGUAAGAGGCAAACAUCAUUUAAACAGAUGUUCUUCUGAAAUGCAGAAAAGGAGCUGGAUUGUGUCUCCCCUGCUUGGUGACAACAUGUCUUGAAGUACACCUGAUGCCUCAGUCCUUUUGCAUGCCAACUUGUGGCUGCAAAGCUGGAGGGAGGGAGGAAGCACAUCCUGCAAUUUUACUACGGGAGAAAAUAACAAAUAUCUCAAAUCAGACAACUACUGAGGGGCAACGCAGCACCGUUAUGCAUGGAGAUGGAGGAUGGCACAGCUGGAAUCAUGCAUGAUGGUAUCAGGUGGCACUAAAAUGUUUACCUGUGGUUGCUGUGAGAGUGGAGGGAGGCAUUGCCAUGACUUCUUUAGUCCGCCAAUAGAUCCAUUCCUAGUCCUUCAGCCUUCUUCUUCCUUUAAAGAAACGGAGAACGUCCUUCAGAAGUCCACUGUUCAUCUAUUUAAAAUUAUUUGUAAAUCCUUUGCUGAAAUUGGGCUUGCGUCAGAAGUGGGCUGAAAGAAGCAAUGAGCCAGAGCUGUGAGACAGACCAGAUAGAGUCUGUAUAACAUGUACCCCCCUAAAAAUAGUUACUGUCUUCUUCUAAAAGCAGUAACAGAAUAUAAGUUGUAAACUUGAUGUUCUUAGAUUGUCAGUUUGGCUCUAACUAAGCUACCAUUUAAGGCCAGUUUGUACAUGGGGUAGGAGUGUUAAAAAAAUAAUCGACGCUAGCUGCUUUCAUCAAUCACUUUCCAGUGAAUGAUUUUCUAUUUAAUUCCUGCUAAUGUUUGUCAGCAAUUUUCUCAUGGAUCUUUUUGCACUUCUUCUUUUUUUUUUUUUAACUCUUUCUUUGUUCUGGUAAAUUUGCCUGCUAAAGAAACUGUUUUAUUUCAUGGGCCACGCUGGAAGAAUGCCUGUGACUGCCCAGGUGAGGACUUGCUCCAAGUCAGAAAUGCUUUUAUAGUCAGCUAAGAAGGAACAAAUACACACCCCCAGAACCACGAAUUUCAACACCUCUUCUGGCAGCGCAUGCAAGACAGUAUCAUUUUUGAAAGCAUAAUAGUACUUCUAAAGUCAAAUUAAAGAUCUUACUUUCAAGAUAUCUUAUUUUCUGUUCCAAAUAAGCUGCAGUCUACAGUAUAACUCUGUCAUCCAGAAGAAAGCCUGAAAUUAAGAGAAACAUUAUAUGAUCCUAGCAUCUAUUAUGCAUCUUUUUAUUUGUUGAAGGCUUGCUGUAGAAUCUGCUUGUUUCCAAGGAAUGAAGAUUGCUUAUUAUCCCGGAUAAUGAAAGAGCAUGUCGUCAUCUAUAAUUGUUAGUUUAGGAUACUCACUGUACCCUUCUAUUAUAAAUAGGUUUGCAUUAAAAAAGGUUCAGCAAAGGAAGCAGCUUUAAAAGAUUUUCUUAAAAAAAGAAAGUUUGCAAGUGAAAUUUAUGCAUUUUUGACUGCAAAAUAUAUUGGAACAAGUUUCUUAAUUGACAGAUUGUAACUUGAAUAUGUAUGCUAUUUACUGAAUGCAAUCUGUGAAUAUUACAGCCUUUUUUCAAUGAUCAUAGAAGUGUGCUUCUAUAUAUACCUAAGUACAUAAAUAUACCCACCUGUCUAUGUA